UGUGGGAAAGAAAAGGGCAUCUCCUGUCCUAAUUCAAAAAGAAAUUUGAGAUUUGUGUUUCUGUGGACCUAAGUGUUAUUGGAACAUCUUUGUCUGUUAUCUACAAAGCCUGUAAAGGUGUUCCUCCCCGAUUUUGAUAAUCUGCUUUGUAAAUGUGAUACACUUAGCACUCUAUCUUGAGCUGGAAUGGUUGGAGAGAGCUUCAACUGAAAUGCAAAUUAGCAUUAGAUGUCUCUUUUCAAUUCAUACUUCUUGGAAGAAGUGACACAAUUCUUGAAAAUAUCAUAAUGAUGUUUCUGUGACAUACAAGCUCUUUGUUAUAUAUAUAGUAUAGCUACUCUGAAUCAUACCAAUGUGCUUAUGGUCUGCCUGAAAGUAUAAUGUAUGCAAGUUGCACAGCAUGUGAUAUUUUUCACUGAACAUGUGAUCUAGUGAUCUCAUGUAAAAGAAAUUUUUUCAGAGAAGGGAGAGAAAUAGAUAUGGGGAGAUAUGCCCUUUACCAAGAAGGGACCAAGCAAACUGUAGCAGUUAGUGAACAUAUGCACACCAGCUCCUAAAAACUUCAGGUUUUUUUUCAUUUUAACUUAAAAGCCUAAUCCCUUUCUAAAUAUAAGCUUAUUAAAAUAAGCGUAGCAAAAAUGGUUUCUUUAUGAUGAUUAGUUGUAUAGUGAAUAGAUGUAGCUGACUCAUUCCCAGUUCUCUUCUGUAAUAAUUGGGGUUUGCUUUCUGAAUUUUUAAAUUAUAAAUUUUCCUAUUUAAAAAUUUCUAUUUUUAAAUUAUUCAUUUCAAAACCAUGUUGCACUGAAGUCUUCUGACCCAUCAGAUGACACAGAGUAUACAUAAAAAUUAAAUGCCUAUUCUGUAUAACAAAACUAGGAAGCUAUUUUUUCUGAUUUUAAAGAUGCUAUUUUCUAGAAUAUGAAUAACGAAAAAACCUAAUUUUGUAGCCAUAACCAUUUUCUGCAUCUAUGAGAACUUAUAAUCAUGAUCAGAGGGCAUUGUAGUAGGUACAUCAAAAUAUAUAUAGCACCUCAAAGAGCUAACAUUCUAAGUAUUAAAAAAAGAUCAGAUAUGGGAGAAAAAUUAAAUGCUAUUCCUGUUCUGCCAUUGAGAGAACUUGAGGAGCAGUGAACAUUAGUGGGUUACUGAGGGGCAGUGGCUGGUAUGUGAAGGAGGAGAACUCCAGAGACUUACCUUACCCAUCAACUUCUGUGCUACUGUGUCAUGGUGCUAUUGUUUUAAAAGUUAUGUAUUGUGUGGAGGAGAGUGGCUGCUUGUAACACAGUCAUGUAAGCAGGACUCAAGUUUAAGUGUUAAAUUAGCAUGCCCUAAAUAGUAAAAAUGUAGGAUAUUGGGACCUUAAAUCCAUGCUGUUGUAUCUUCAAGUCUUGCUCAUCUACAUACCACAUGUUGCUGAGGUGCAGAAAAACAAGCCUUGUGUUUCCAAAGGACAUAAAAGUGCAACUCACCUUGAGGAAGUACUUUUCCCUGGAACUAAACCCUCUUGUGUCCUUUUGUCAGCUGAAUCCUAGAGCAUUCAUGAACGACACCAACCAACAUGUAGUUCUCUGACAUGGAACCAAACUGUGAAGAGCUACUGCCUUCCAGGAGUUAAGUAGCACCACUGGAAUUGCUUCUGCAAACCCUUUGAACUGGUGUUUGGAGAUUGCUGACCUACCCUGUGUUACUGUAAAACACUCCUACAUCACUGACACAGAACUCUCACCUCGCACCUGGAGACAGGUGGUUAAAAUCUUUUAUUACAUGAAGAAACUUCUGCACAUAACACAGACCUACUGUGGUCCUGUCUUUCUUCUUACUUUCAAUCUUGCAUGUUGAUGAAAGUAUAAACUAGAGGCAAUUCCUUUGGCAGGGUGACUGAAAAUAAUUUGGAUGAUGGGGCUGUAGCCAUCUAAGUUGAACUAUUCAUACAGUCCAAAUAAUUAACUAUAUUUUUUAGCAGUUUUCCAUUAAUAAGAAAUUCUGUUGUAGGAGUCUGUGUAUUUAGGUUUUUAUUCAAGCUGAUGAUGUUUGCUUCAGUAAAAGUGUGGUGUUUGGACCAUAUGCUCAAAUGUUAACAUGUUUAAUGCCAGCAGCAGAAUAUUUACAUUAAAGGACAUGGAGCCAAGUUAAACUCAAUUGCAACUUUAUUCACUGGAUUACGGUGUUACCAGCAAAAAAUAGCUGUGAUAUCUUGCUUUUUUUCCUCUUUCAUUUUUCAAACAGGCUGAGGCAGAUCUGCCCUUUUUGGAAGUUGUGCUCUAAUUACUAUUUUAAGCCCUAGUGCAGCAGGGUAGAGAGGGAAUGCCAAGAGGUAUUCUGCUUGAACCUGAAGCUCUUGAGAAGGAGGGAUAGGAAGGUAAGUAUAUGCAGAAUUUUAUUCCAACCUCCCUCUUGUCAGGGGAUUAGAAAAUGUUGCAUGUCUUUCUUUUGACCAUGCACAAUUUAGCUAUGUUAAAUUAAGCAGUAGUUCCUGAAGAGAGAUUUUAUGGGUAAGAUUGAGGCAGUUGAGUAGACUGUCCCCAAAAGGCUGUGGAUGCACAAUAUCUAACUGUAGCAAAUGUCUCAUGAGCUUUCCACCUCUCAGAUCAGGCUUUCAGAGAUUUACAGUUUUUGGAUUGUAUAACUGAAGCAAGGACAUUUUGAUAGAAACGGCCAACAGAGGGAUAACUAGACUAAACAGAUCAGCAGAUUUGAGGAAGUGGUAACUCUGAGCAAGGCAUGGUGUGAACAGUUAGUGAUGGACAUCUCUUCUGCUCUGUUGCAGCAGGGGGAAAUGGUCUGUUCAUAGAUCCUGUCAGAACUGGGACUGCAAUGCAGGAGUAAAAGCUCUGUACAUUGUUUUAAACAUUAAGGAACAGGGUGUUACCCAGUGGAGUCACUGCUAAUGGUAGGAUGAUGUGACCAUGAAAUGCAGAAUUUGAAUAAGCACUCAGCCUUCAAAAAAACACCAAAAACCAACCCACUAACAACAACCUCAAACCCUGGAUGACCAAAAUGCCAGUUUGGAAAGAGGAUCAGAAAAGUCUUUCUUUUUACAGUUCCCCUUUCCAUCUGAAAAAGAGAACUAUCUGAGAAGCACAGAAAGGAGAAGUUCAACGGAACUUUUAUGGUUGGUUUAUUGGCAAACACUUGGUCAUUUUUUUUCCUUCUUCCCCCCCUCCACCCCCUUUCUUUUCCCAUUCUGAAGUUGUUAAUUCUAGUUAGGCCCAUUUCAGAUGUUCUGGGAGAGGGCUGACAGGAACUUAACAUCAUAGUAUGAUCCAGCCACAAGUGAUUCCAGCAGAAGAUGGACCUUUGGCAUCCCAUGUGUAUCUUGUGUGAAAUAUGUCUGCUUUUAGAGGCAUUUUGACUUUUUUUGUUGAGAUAAGAAAGGCAGCAGAAGGGAUGCACAGUGGAGAAUGAAAAGCUGUGGAACUUGCACAAAGGAAAAUUUGAUCUGCCAUGUGGAUUAGACAGCAAUAGAGCUCUAGACUGUUUUCUCCUUGCUGAGCUUAUGUUUCUGGGGCCAGGGACAGUGAGUGUUCAGGCAGGGUGAGGGCUUGUGCAUUCAUUUUUGUAGAGCACAGAUUUGUAGGAAGAGUGUUGGAACUGGAGUUAUCUGGGUGUUCCAUGUGAGAGGAGUUGAUAUGCACUAUGGAGGUGAUACUGAUGAAAACGUGAGAGAGAUCAGGGUUCUAAGACAACUGUGGAGUUGAAGGAAACAAGUAGAUUGUGAGGGAUAUUUUUUCCCACCUUGUGUGUUACUGCUCUGAUUUUAUAUUUGUGAGCAUGAAUGAAUGAACCAGGUCUCCCUUUCCCUGGUUUGUUUCUCAGAACCUAUCAGUUUUUCUGUAUUAUUUGCAAAACCCUGUGACACACACUGACCACAGCAGCUUGUUUCUCAUUCUGAGAACAUGAGGAGACUGUGGUGAGGGGUUAGGGAGGUGGUAUCCUCAACCUCCCCAGUUACUUUAGGUCCCAACCACUUCUGAAAGGAGGAUAUUCUUAGGGGGAACAGUUGAUUAAUUCACUGCUUAAAACCAUCCAGCUCUCAAGCAAUCUUGUGUUACUUUCCUAGUUAUGGUGUCUUCUCAAGAAAAGAUCCUGUAUGAUGCAAGCACUGACCCAAGAGGAAAAACAGUAGUUGGAAAUGUUGGGAGAAACAGAAGAAGUACUUCCAUGUUUGCAGAAACUUUUGGUCAUGCAUUUACCAUGGUUUUCCAAUUUUUUUAGAUGUUUAUUUCCCCCUGUAUUCAGUGAGUUUUCCCAAUUCCUUGUAUUGAGAAAAUGCUUUAUUUCCUUAAAGUAGUGACAUGUGGAAAUUGGUUGAAGAGCACAGUUCAGUGGUGCAGGCAAAUGAAAAGAAGCUCAGGCCUUAAGGAAAUAUGUUGGGGGGAGGGAGCUGCGGAAAGAUUAAGUUAAAAUGAAAACAUUAUCCAAAACAAACAGUGAGCUUCAGCCUGAGUUAAUUUUCCCUCUUGAAGUAGGUGUGAAAUUGUCUCUUGCAUUCCAGGUCCCAAAUUUAAAAUGUGGUCAUGCUUUGUGAAACUGAAGACGCGUUACAGAUGUUGAUUUCUAUACGUGAUUUAGUGGUUACAGCAAGUGGCAGAUUUACAGCAUCACGACUUUCAAGUUUUAUUGCAGACUGAAUCAUUUAGUGACCUUUGGGUGACUCUUGGUAAACACCUACAAGCUUGGUCUUGAGCAGUGAGGAAUGGCAGCCGCUUCCCUGGGCUCGCCCUGAGCUUGGCCAAGACCCGAGCAGAGGGCAGAGCUGGCGCCCCGCACUUCUGCCUGCCAUCAGCAGGGGUAGCUAAGCCGCUGCUGCCCGGGCAGUCCUCUUCCCUACUUUCCUCGCUCUUGCUUGCCUGGCAGAAGGGGCCAAGGCAGUAACCACAGAGGUUCUCCCCCUCGCUGCCUACACGGGGAUCAGGACAGGAAAGGGGAAGUGGUGUAGUGUGUCAACUCAGAGGACUGCUUUCCUGGAAGCAUGCUGCUUCCUAUGGAAGUGUGCAUGGAGAUGGGAGUUACUGUCUUUGCUUUUUCUUCCCCCCCCCCCCCCCCCCGCCCAUGCAAAACUUGGUUGAAUGUCCUGAAGUUUGCUUUCUUGAUGUUGGAAUGAGAUUGUGGCAAAUGCUGCAAUACUCUGAAUGGAAAAAUGCCAUUUGAAUCUCUAUGAGACUUCCAUGAGAAAUGGAAAGAAGGAAGGUAAGAUGAGGGAAAUGACAGCUUCAUCCAGAUUAGCUUCCAAAUUAGUGCCACAUGGCAGUCAGAUGACUCCGCACAGCUGCAUGGCUGCACAGUCACAUUAUCCACAUCCUCACUAAAUAGUUGUUGGUUACUUCAGGACAAGUCAGGGAAAGGGAAGACAGAGAGACUGCUGGGACCCACUGUCAUGUGGCACAGGAGAGUCUCUGGUGCUGUACUUCAUGCUGGGAAGUGAAAUUAGUGAAUGGUGAAACAGAUACCUUUGUGCACAGAACCUGAUUCUGUGAAAACCCAGGCUGAGAGGGCAAAGCAGCAAAAGAAUUCUUGUGCAGAUGAGUAAGUGCUCAAAGAUUGCUAAUUUCCACCUUCUGCACUGACUUUUAUCACACAAAGAGAUGUGGUGGCAGGCCUGGGGCUGUUGGCAGGCACAGGAGGAAGCAUUCAGCUGCAUGGGCAGUGUUUACCGUCCCCAUUUCCUCCAGAGAAACAACUGUGGGCGGGUCUGGUUUUAGGACAUAUCCCUUCAAACUGGCUUUGCACAUCGUGCAUGGUGUGGAAACCACGGCUUGGGAAGUCCUGACCUAGAUGAAGGAAAGCCAGUGAAAUUAACCUGUUUGAAACUACAGUGCCACAAGUGCUGAACUCUAAAAGGAGUUGUUAUCAGUAAGGUGCAGGAAGUCUGUAGUGGUAUUCCUUGUCUGAUUAUUUGAGAACUGCUGAAUUGGACAUGCUGUUUGCAUUCUCUAAACUCAGUCCAACACUAAAUGCAGAAUGCAGGUAGAGGAGGGAAAAGCAGACAUUGUUGCUGUAAUCCUUUUGCCUCAUGGGAUGCAUCAGAAAAGGAUGGAAGAGGCGUGUAUGGCUGGAUGUCGUGAUGGAGCAACUCUUGGAGAAAGUGUGUGAAUCUGAAAGUCACGGAAUAGUUGAGACAUCACUUCCGGUAGUUACAAGGAGAGAGGAAACUGGAAGAAGGGGUCAGACCCUGGCUAAAGGCAAGUCCUGUGAGGCAAAGGAUAUCCUCAAGGGAUGCUGCCCUACCAGCAGCCAUGGCCACUUCUAUGGAAGGGCAGGAGUGAGAGGCUGCAUAAUAUUUCUCUGCCAUUCUGGAAAUGCUCCAAGACUUCAUGACCUUAUGUUGAAUGUGUUUAAAACAGCGCUGGUUCUUUCAUGAGGCUGUUAUGGUAUGCCUACCCUGCUAGUUUUCAUGAAAGGCUGUUACGCUUUUGUAAAAGAGGAGGGGGAUUCUAUGAAAUUGAAAGAUCUCAAACAAGUUGAUUGUGAGCUCUGCAGUUUUUUUUCUUCUUUCUUGAAAGAACCACACCAAACAAACCUCCCCAAAACACAAGAAAACCCCCUAAAAACAAAAACCCUGAAAACAUUGAAGAAUUUUGAAAUGUUCAAACCAAGCAGCUGUUUUUUCAGCUGUUACAGGUAUUAAACAACAGCAAGAAAAUCCUCUGCUAUGACCUGUCAUUGGAAAUAAUCCUUUCUUGAUCAUGCUGAACAGCUGGGUUCAUUGCUUCUCCUGCAACUGUAAUCUUCAACUUCUCGACUUGUUACCUGCACAAUGAUUCGUCAAAAUGUUAAGCUAAUGGUAUGAAAUGCAAAAUAAUGAAAUUGCAGAUGUUUAAGUGCAUCCUUGGGAUUCAUAAAUUAUGGGAGCUACAGUGAAUUGUUAGGAAUGAAUUAGGUGUUUGGAAGUGACCUACUUUGAAGAUACUUUUCCUUUUUUCAAAAUGCUAAAUGCUUUUGACCUUUCUCGCUGUUGCAAUGCAAGUGACCACCUAAUAACACCACUUCAACAUUGUUCCUUUUUUUCUGAUAAUAAAUAACAUUUACUUUCAACUGUGAUACUUUAAUUAUGCAAAUCAAAUUCUCACUAAUGGCUUUUUUCAGACCCCAUAAAUCUGCAGUGUAAUUUUUUCCUUAGUAAAUAGGUCAGGGGAAAUGCAGCACUGACAAAAGUGUGGGCAGAUGCAUUUUGGAUUUGGUUUAACUACAUCUGUGCUGUGUAAUCACUUAAAAAAAAAAAAGGCGAAAAAGCAAAAAAACCUGGUAGCCUGUAUAAAUGUUAAGAAAUGGAAAUCAAGAUUGGAAUUACUGUGCUUUCUAUUGUUAGUGUCAAUAAAAGCACUGUUUAAUUCACUUUAGAAAUAUCAGUGGAACCAAUCCUGAAAAAUCUUGCUCUGAGAACAUCCUGUGGGCUUCCUUUAUUUGGACACCAACAUGUUUAUUUCUGGCUUGAAUCUGCUUAUUGUUUAGAUUAAAAUCUGCUUUGCAUGGUCAACACAGUUAAAAGCAAGUAGAUUGCCUUAUGACUCCUACAAUAUCAACAUAAGAAUAAUUGCAAUCACAAAUAAAAGGGCAGGAAAUAACAUGCAUUACUUGAAAAAGAACACAUAGCCUUCAUGUUCACAGAUUUUUAAGAUUAACAGUUACUUUCCCUUCUUUUCUCCCGUUUUCAAAUCAAAACAGAAUCCUAUCCCUGAAAAGCACCAAAACAUCAGGAACAAGCAAACCACUCCAGAAGCUGAGAAGCAGGCAGCUGUGAUUUGUAAUUGCUGGGACAAAUAAAAAUGGACUUUUGUUAUGUCAGAUUUCUAGAAUCAUAUUUGAGAAUUGUACAGUGAUUGAAUUGUUGCUGUGUUGCAGAAAUAAAAGCACAGGGACAUACUGAGGCAGAGUUGCCAGAGCCAGACAGACCAGAAACCCAGUGCACUGCAGAAUGUCUCUCAGAUAUUUGGACAGAUAACCACAACUAGUGGGCACACAGCCAUAGUUUUCUCCAUAGUGAGUCUUCAAAUAUUAUCUGAUCAGCCUUCAAAAACUUCCCAGUUCUUAAGCAAUGAAGAAUCAUGGAUGCGUCUAGUAAUUGGUGAUAUGGAGAAACCAGACUGGGCCACUGGAGCUUCACAUGAAUCGCUGGAGGUGUCCAGGAGUUGCUGCAGUCAUAAGUUUAGAGGUAUACUGUGUCCAGGCUAAGGUCAACGUCUGUUACUCUGACGCAUUUUAAACAUGUGCCAGUUUGCUGUAACACAGAGUCCAGUCUGGAAACAUUCAGUGGGGCAGGACUGUAUGUAGAAUGAGUCUUCCCAUCUUCUUCUUCCUAUUAUCCUCUCAGAGUUUCGUCAUGUUUGUCUCCAUUGAACCAGUCUGCUCUGGUUCCCAGUGGCAGUGUUAUGUGCCAUUAGCUGGUAAACCUUCCAGGGUGCCACUGGGGAAUGCCCAAUUGCAGGGCUAAUACAGCCAGAAUUAUUCAGGUCAUGCCCUCUCCUCUAACUGGGAAAGCCUGCAAACAUAGUUUCAAGUCUCAGGGCUUUUACCAGCUGUCAGAAUUUGGACAGUCAAUUCAGCUGGCUCAGUGACUGAAAUCAAUCGUUUUUGACUGGCAGUUAUUUAAUUAUCCUACUUGUACACCAUCCAGGGAGGCCUCUGGCCCCUGGUCUCUUGUACUGUAUCUCUAUUUACAGAGUGACAGAAAACAUUUCCUUGCAAACGAGGCUCAUUUUAGAAAUGGACACCAACCUCUUUUGGGUCGUCCCCCAUCAGCUUAAACUUUCUUGGAAUCUUGCUUCUGGCAAACUUACAACCAUUGUAGUACAUGCUCCAGGAGCAACCAAAGGAAAAUGAAGCACCACAAGUUUCAGGGUCCAGCCCUUGACAUGCACAAGUCCGUCUAGAAGAGAAUACAGCUGUUAGCAGCAGACAGGUCACCCUGGAGCAUUCCCGCAGUGGGCAUCGGCGUUCCGCCAGCUCUGCGGGGAAUCAGGGCUACAGAUCGUCUUCCAUCAGUAAAAAAUGAAGAAAUGGAAAAGGGAGGUUUACACACUAUAGCAGAAAAAUUUAUCAUAGUGAAUAAUUUCAUGGUUACAAAGCAGGGUCUAUGGGGUUUGUACACUUCUGUGAGAAACUCAGCUUUGCUUGGAAGAGGAUAUGUUUGUGUGGUGCCUUGUUAGGUACUGAUAUUCAUGGCACCUGAGGGGCUUAUGCUGACAGCACUGCAAGAAUGUGGGAGCCCUCUGGCAGGGGCUGAGCAAUAAUUUUUGAAAUACGACUCUACCCAUGAAGUCAAAGUAACACACAGUGACAGCUAUGGUAAUUUUGGUCUAAAUGUUCUUCUCUCUCAGAAAGGCAUGGGAAAAUGAUACAGUGCAAUUUGCUUAUACUGAGGCUGGCUUCUCUAGGCUUACAGUAUGAUUCAAUGCAUCUAGCUUUUAUUUCAGGGUUGAAGUAUCUGCUAUCCUGGCCCCUGCUGAGAUGCUUCACAACUCUGGGAAGAUAUUUUUUCCUAUUUAUAGGAAUGUUUAUUUUGCUUUUCUUACAAGGUUUGUGGGCUUCCAAACCACCUGAAAUAGCUGAGAAGGUUAUACAUGUUUCAGGGUAAUAGCAUGAGCAGAGGUGCUGGGUCCAGGGCUGACGAUGGGGCUGCAAGUUUGGUGAGCACCCCCUUUGCUCCACUUACUCUUCGUUUAGGGCGCACCGCCGGUUCGUGAGCGUGCCGUACUUCCUCAGGGUGUCGGUGAGUUCGGAGUACAGCUUGUCAGCCAGGCUUGUUGGGAUUCCCUCCCAGACCAGGAUGAGAAUCACGAUCACGGCCGUCUCACACGUGUGGCCUGCUCGCUCGCGCACCAAGCAGAGCAGCUUUUCCUCCUGACUGCUUCUGCGGACUACCUGCAUGCACAGCAACACACACCCCAGAGCCCCAACACAAACAGUGCAUUUCUUAAUGGGUAGAGCAGGAGAAUUGGACACCUCAGCAUUAGUGCGUGUGUGUGGAGGUUACUUUUGUCUUCCUCUUUGUUUCUGGCAUUUUGUGAUGUAGGCCAGGGCUACCCUUUCUGUUUAAAGAAGCUGACUCUUAAGAGGUUGACUGAUGGCAUGGAAAGCCAUGGUGGUGGAAAACAGCUUUGUAAAGGUAUUCUCUGUGCUCUGAUUCAGCAGGAGUACUCUCCUGAAUCUGUGUUAUGGUUGUGGCCCAGUUUGAUUGGUGAGCAAAAGGAAGUGAGCAGUGAGGUGUCUCCCCGCACAGAACUGGAUUGUGGACACCUGUUCUUAGGGCAGGAACUGGACAUGGAAGCUCUCUCCCCUUCCAACUUAAGCAGCUAAAUUUGUAAUCAACCUCACUGUUUUGUGACUCGCUCUUACUACAUAUAGACAUUACAGUGACGAGAGGAAAGCAGUAGAUAAUUUUAAAAUAAGACAGGAUCCUUCCAGUAGCAUAAGCAGUAAGCGCAUUUCUGAAAAAAAAAGGUGCAGUCUGGCAUGCAUAAAGAUUAUAAUAAUGCAUCAGUUUUUCCUCAUCUUGUCUUUCCCCAGCCAAUCCAAACCACUCAGUAAUUUGUGCCAAAGUACAACAGUGUUUGACAAGAGGAUGCCCUAACACCUCUCUCAAACUGGGAGUAUUUUAAAAUACCCUAUUUUAAAAACAUUACAGUGUGCACUUACUGGACAUACUUGUAAGCUAAAAUUAAACAGCAAUGCAAAUGUCUGGUGUUGUGAAUCUUAAAUCUAAGCAAAAGUGCCUUUUUUCUUAGGUUUUCAUAUCUUUAAGCCACAUUUUAGUCUCGCUAUUCACCGUGCAACAAGUAAAUGGAGUGAGAGAUGGGUGGGAGCAGGCUACAGGCAUCCUGUAGUACUGCUGCCAUUGAGCUAUUUUAAGUUUCAUGGUGUCAGCUCACAGUAGGACAUGUCACUGCUUUCAGCUUACAUAAACCAUCAUACUGAACUGGAUUAAUUUGUGUACAUCACUUACCCAUUUAGCAAUUGGACAUCCUUGAGAACUUUUGCCUUCUUUCCCAGUGUAGACAACUCUCUCAAUCCUUAUAGCUUUACCCUUCUGUCCAAAUCUUAAACAAACAAAAAUAUGUACAGUAAGCAGAUUCAUUUGGUUCUGCAUGAACACUGAAAAGAUGGAGCACAUUUGCCAGUCUUAUGUUAGAAAAAUAAACUAUGAAUUACAGGGAAAGGUGUGCAGUGUGGUUUAUUUUGCUGAUUUUAUUAGAGUAGUGUAUUGAUAUAUUAAGAGAGGCAAAUGUCUUUAUAUAUCACAUGCAUGGGUAAAAAUUUUCAAUAUUACAUUAAUAUUUCCAAACUUUUUAACCAUUUCUUUAGAGCAUUUGUUAUAGAUGACAUUUUGAAAAGUGGAUUUUAAAAAAAAAAAAAAAUUUAUUUUGGUGAGGAAUUUUAUAUUUUUCUUUUAUUUCUGGGUGAAAGUUUUUUCUCUGAAAUGUACAUAAUUAAGUUGUCAUGGAACAGUUGGCAUGCAAUAGUUACUCUACUGAUUUUCUGUGCUUGUUUCUGGCUUAGAUAAAGUGUGAAUCAGUUAAAUCAUUAAUUUGCAUCAUAUCUAUUUUAUUUACUUCAUCAUCUGCUCAUAAAUUGUUUCUUAUUUACUUCUACCCGACUUCUAUACUUCAGUUAAGAUCACAAGGUGCCCUCAAAUGAUGCCAUUUGUGUGUGUCUUUUAGUGACCAAGGUGGGCAAGCUCAGUUCUUGCUGAAGCAUUUAGUCAAGGUGAUUAUGCUGUCAAGGCAGAAUCCAGCUCCAUGUGCAAGGAAUGCUGUUACCCAGAGCAAAUGGGAUCUGCUUUCCAUGUCCUCUAAUGUGGAAUUAGAGGUGGAAAUAUGUGGCAAACACCAAGUGAAGCAAAUCUUGACUCAGUAACAAGUGUCAGACCUGUUAGGCUGUUUGCAUCUCAGGUCUCAGGGGAGGCCAAGAGCCAGAAACUGCAGUGACUGCAGCGUUACAGACUGAUCUGUGAAUUACUGAGUGUUACAGACUCAGCUGCAUGUUGUGGACUGGGCAAACUGCACGUCCAUCACCAUUUCUUGAAUUCUGCCACUCUCAUUGGCGUUACCCUUUUCUUUUUAAAAGCCAAGAGUGGAGACUAAACUACAGUCUCCUUGUUCUUUGCCUGUUACCUAUAGAGCAGUCAAGAUAGUUCCUUCCUGUUAUGCAGCCAUUUAAUGAUGCCUUGGGAACUUCUGACCUUUUUUCCCUCUUGUUUUUGCACUAAAAUCUUGGUGACAUAUUUAAGGGUCAAUAUUUGUAUUUAAAGUUUUGUCCUGUCAAGGAAAUGAAAAAUGCUUAUUUUUAGAUGUGAUCUCAUUGUGCAGUUUCAGUGUCACAGGAAAUUAUACAAAUAAAAUCUAGUUGUAGUACACAUGUUCUGCAGGCAACUGUUAGGUCACUUUUUCCUACUUAGGCUUGCAUGUUAGUAUUUUUUUGCUUCUUUAAUUAACCACAUUAAAAAAACAUUUUUAAAUCUUAACAUUUUCUAUCAGUUUUCUCAUCUGGAUUGCAGGACAACUGUGCAGAUGCCUCUAUAGAAACAUGUUGUACAUUACACACUAGAAAUGAAAUGGACUUUGUCUCAAAUAUUUUCAGCUGUCACAAAGGAAUUUGUGCCUGAUGUUUGUCAUGCUUGCUUUCAGGCAAAAGCUGACUGGCUUUAAAACUGGAGCAAAACUCACUGAGCAUGAAGUAGGAACUGGGAGAAGGAAGAGGUAAAAUGUAUGUAUCCACUGUGGAUUCUGCAAGAAAUUAGUUCUGGUAUAACUAAAAUAUUAAUUAUACGCCUAAAUCCAAAUGCUGAUACCUUAGAAGUCAAUCCAUAUUCAAGGGAAGCCAGGUGAAAAGUACUUCAGUUGUGAUUAGUGUCACCAACUGCACACAUAUCUUUAUAAUGAAGGCUUUUUUUUUUCUUUUUUUUACUUAGGGAUACAAAAUUAACUGUUGAAGAGUUCUGGAGCUCUUCAGUCAGGGAAUUACACAGUUCAUACCAUGUGAACAGUUGAAAAUUAGCCAUUGUUCAAGUGGCAGCCGCUAUACUCUCCUGAACCUGGCUGAGAAGAUGCAUGCUAUCUACAAUCUCUCAGGAUUUCCUUCUGCCAACAUGAAAUGAAAUGGGAAAAAAAAAGAAAAAAGUGAAGUCAAUAUUAAGGAUGAAAAAUUACAUUCCAAAGUAAAAAAAAUGAAAGAGUUUCAUCUCUAAUAAUUGAUGUUAUGACAGGAAUGACUUUCCUCUUAUUUAUUAUUUGUAAAUACUAAAGAAUGAACCAGUCAGUGGGAGCUCUGGAGGUAACAAAUUGUAAAGAGCUUCUCCAGAGAGUCAGUGUUCACCCUCCUUUCACAGAAAGAAGCUGAUUUAUGUAGCUUACAUGCAUCUGAGCUGCUCUCAAAGCUAAAAACAAUUAUUGGGGCAAGCCCUGCCCAGGAGUCACAGGGAAGGAAGUACUAAAAAAGAGAAAGGACCUUAGAACUUAAUCUGAAGGGUUUAAUAGGCUCCAAGUGGCCCAUGGUUGUACAGUGAUGAGCCAAGCCAACAGACUUUGCUAAGAAAUGGUGCUCCUUAGCUCAGACACAGCAAUGCAAUAAUGCCCACUUGCUUUUGGUUCUGCAAUUAGCUGCAGCUUCAUUGCAGUUCUGGAGUCCAAAUUUUUUCGGUACAGGUUCCCAUCUGUCUCUGACUUACUGAAGUUUUUUGUUUGCUUCUUUGUUCAGGGGGGAACUGAGUUCCCAGGUACCUCUAAAAAUCUGGUCAUUACUGUGUGCCCACCAAAAGCUACAAGUAAUGCAGAAUUCACAGGGCAGAAGUCACUUUUCUGAAAGCUUUUAAUUUAAAUACCUUAGAAAGGGUGAUGGUUUUUGCACUUACGCGUGUUUUUAAAUAGCACAGAUCAUGUAUCUAUUCUGUGCCUUUAAAAAUUCCUGAUUUGGUUGGCAUUGAUGUAAUAAAUACAUCACGGGAUGAAACAUGAUAACAGGGAUUGUCCUUAAUCAAGAUAAGACUGGGUUUGUGCAAUACUACAAGGAAGGGGAUGUUUUUUCACAAAACCGCUUAUCGAUUCCUGGGCUGAAAUCCUAUCCAACAAUUUUGUGGCACUCCUCUGGACGUGACCAAGUCAGAUUUAGCCCUUUAGGGAUGUACUAUAUAUUUAGUAAUUCAGUGAGGGGGAACUAAUGUUGAAGUGUGGUGUUCUGCUCUUCAUCCUCCUUCUACAUUCUGGCAUUCUCCUGCCCAGAGGGAACCACCAGCUCCAUGCCUGCUUUUGCAGCCAUUGCCAACCGUCCUGCUUGGCAGACUGGUGAAUACUUGUUCCGGCUUGGCUUUGCUGGCGUCUGUCUCAAAGUGUGCAGCCUGUGCCAGCCAGCAGACUAUUAGCCCUGUCAAAUAUUGUGACUCUCUGGUGAAUAGCACAGUGCGUCAUGUUGGCAACACUGGAGUAGCUAAGCCUACAAGUAAUUACUUGAUUUGCAGUUGUUUAUUUCUUUAUGUGCAAAAGCUGGAAAAAUUCUGACAUCCACAAAAGGAUAAAUGUUAAUCUGCUCUGUGCCUUUGCACUAAUUACCUUUCUUCCAUGAUUUCUCUAAUAGCUGCCACAUUAGGACCGGCUCCUAGAUGGGUAUAGAAAGGACCUUCAUCUUUUUCAAUAAUUUGCUCUGUUUAAAACAAAAUAAAGGGUUAUUACUUUGAAGCUUAAUUCUUUAAUGUAAAAUGUCACAUUGCAAAGCUUACACCUAGCUUGUUGGAAUACUGCUGUAUGGGUCUGGGGUCAAAGUUUUCAAACACUAAGGUCUAAAGUAUGCCCAUGCAAUUUGUACAAGACAUGCAAAGCACAUGGCUAAUCGUGCAAAUAGCCGUGAUAGGGACCGUGUGCCCUUUGCCAGCACAAACAGUCAUUUCAUGUCUCAGGCUCUACACUGAAAUUCAAAAGGCGUUUUCCUGUUAUCAACAAACAAUUGUUUCUCCUUCUCCCACUUCCUCCUCUCCCAGUAUCUAAAAAGGAGGAUAAAUGGGAUACCAAUGGUAAAUAUUGACGUUACUGAGCUGUACAGUACUUGUUUUUCAGCAGACAUGUUACAGUGUAGGAACCUACAGCUUGAGAAAGUGGCCAGUAAGGUUACAUAGUGAAUUCCUGCCACCCACAGAAAGACUGUGAAAUGAAAAAAACAAAGUUUGCUGAAAGAAAUCCUGCACAAGGCUUGGUCAAAAUGCUCGUAUGCUAAGAAUGUGGCCUCAGUUUUCUGUGUGUAGGUAGGACCAUGCCAUCAGUCACAAUACAUGCUACAUGUUUGGUUUGAUACCAGGAGGCAGGCUCCAGCAGUGAGAAAGAAAUGGCCAGGCUCCGCUUGGAAUCAGGAGAUGUUGGAGCUGUGCUGCCUGAUGUCUGAACGUUGCCUUUAUGUUUUCUGCUGUGCUAACUCCAAGAGCUGGAUGAGGUGGUGCUGCUCUUGAUAUACAGCCUCGGGAAGCAUGACAAAGGCAUGCUAUAAACUUGAACAUGUCAGUGGGGGGAUGGCUUAAUUUAAUCUUCCUAAGGGCAAGUAUUGAUAGGAAAGAGCAAAGGAAAUGAUUCCCAGAAAACUUGUGCCAACUAUAUGGGAGAAAUUAUAUAAAAAAAACAACCAACAAACAACUGUGUUUUCAAAAAACCUAAAUUUUAGAGGUUGUUUCUUAUAAAACAACAAGGAACAGCAAGGAACUGGCUUCCAGUUUUCUUCCUGGUAGCUUUGGAAAUACACUAUCUCCUAUUUUUGUUCCCAUGGAUCACCUCUGAGACAUAGCCCCAAGCAAGGUCCAUUUUGCAAUUCUGGAGGAGCAUUGAUUCAACUUUCCUCUUUUAUAGUUGGUACAAAAUCCAAGUAACUGAAACUAUAACAAGGAUUUUUAUUUCCUUCCCCCCCACCCCUUUUUGUUGCUGAACCUUUUGUCUCAGCCUGAAUAGUUUAUCCACUAGAGUCUGAAAGUGCCUGUUAGACCUGGCUGUGUGCAGUGUCAGUACUGUAUGGAAGCUCAGGCUAUGGGGCCAUGCCUAUCACUCUACUUUGCUUCCCUCUGGUUUAUUUUUCCAGCUUUUGGAGACUGGGUAUGCCUAUGAAGAAACACUGAGGGUCCCCCUCACUGCUUUCUUUGGUGCUGCUUGUGUAGCUUCUCUAAGAACUGCUGAUCUCUUUAGCCUUACAGGAGACAAGUGCAUGAAAGGGAGGAUAAACUCUUGCAACAAGUGAGGAAUAAUCUGACAUCUGUUUUUUUGCUUAGGCUUUGCUGAGGGAAACUUCAGCAAUUUCACUAUUAGAGCAAAAAAUGGCAUAAGGAUCUCAAGUACUGGAUCCAGGAUAUGUUUAUAAAUGCUAUCUCUAACCUUGACAAAUAAAUUAGGUUAUGAAGUUAUGACCUACUUUUUAUCAGUAUGUUGUUAUUAUGUGUCUACUGCUCAAGGAGAAUGGAUGUGAGGCCAUAAGCAUUCUGACUGAAAAAUCAAAUAGGUAUUUGCUUUAUGAAACGAGAAAGGGCCCAUGAGUAGGGUUGGUAAGUGGAGUAGGCAUAAGUGUAUAAAAUUCUAGUUUUGUAAGUCUUCCCUAAUUACUGUUCUAAAAAAACCCACCCAAAAAAAUCUUGCAACAAAAACAUCCAACUAAACCCCAUGAUCCCAACUUGAAGGUUCAUUUCCUCCCUGUGAACUAGUAUGUUUUUAGUACAUCUCAGCACUUACCAACACAGCUGCAAGAUGGGAAAUCAUACUGGGUUUUGGCAGGUGUGUCCAAUAAAUUUUUUACAGGAGUAUCCAAUAACUUGGAAGGUGAGUCUAAAAAAUUAUUGAGAACAGUUCCAGCUGUUCUUUUGGUCGGGGUUUUCUCAGCAGACAAGUUUGCUUGCUGAUCUGAGAUUGGAGUCUGAGUGUCAAAAUCUGCAGCACUGGUAUUUCUUGACAGAAUGGUAAUAGGGCCUGCUGUUUCAACCUUCACUUGUUUGGGUGAUUUGAGAGUAAAAGUCUUAUGAUCAAACAGUGAUUUGACCUGUAUCUGUUUUAGCUGCUGUUCCAUUGUCUCAAUGAUGCUCUUUUGUUGCAUGUUCUCGCAGCCAAAGUGCUGAUUCUCUUGUUUAAUUGUUUUUUUCCACAUUUUGUUUUCCAGCUGUCCAGCUGAUGGGCGCAUGCAGACAUUAGACUUUGUGCCAGCCUCAGUUUUGAUAGGCUUGCGUGCUGCACUGGGACCAAUCUCAGUUUUGGGCUGCUGGUAUGCUUGCUGCUCCCGUUUUUGCAAGAGGUGCCACCUUAGAGCAGCAUGCUUUUCAAAAUCCUUAGGAGUCUGGGACUGCAAAUGACAGCCUCUCUGAUCUUGGGAGUGUGGGGCAGUUUGGCUGUGUGGUAAGUACUGCUGAGGAAUCUGUGGAGCUGGUUUGCUCGGGAGGUCUUGGUUCAGACUAGCACCAUAGCAUUGUGAUGGCUGGAGUGGCGGUAGCUGUAAAACUGAGGCUUGUUGUGUCCGUUGCUCUUGUUCUUGAAAACAGUGAUUCACAUCUUGCUUUGUGGUCAAGUCACUUGAAAAAUACUGAACAUGUUGCAAGUCCUGCAUUUUGUUGGCUCCAAAGCGUUCUGUAUUGGCGGCGCUUCCUUUCUUCUCGGAAACCAAGUGCAUGUUGUUUGGGCAUGGGUGCUGGAGACUAGCCUUUGCCUUCUGAGUGUACAGGGGAGCUUUGUUGUUCAUGGUACGCACCUGCUCUAGGCCUAGCUGAGGGUGAGGCAGUGGGAAUGCAUUUGAUUUCAUGUACUUAUUCCCAGCUUGGAAACAUUCCUCUACUUUAAGCUGAUUGAAGGAUGUCCUGUCUAGAAGCUGCUCAGCAUUGGUUUGGGAGUGGGACACAGUUCGGGGCAGGUCUUUAUUUUUCAUUUGCAGAGACUGCUGAUGGUUUGAGAUUACCUGUGGACUGCAUGGCAAUUGCACCCGAUGUGUCUGUUUUUGAAGCAUCUCUUGCAAAAUGUGUGAAUGCAAGAACUGCCCAUUUUCCCCUGGCUGGGGAUUCAAGUGCUGCUGUUUCAAGGGGGCUCCUAAAGGCUGUUCAGCUUGUUUUUCUGGUCUUUCCUGGAAAUGGAGCUGCUGCGGGGGGUGUUGCUGCACUUGGGACUUGAGUAGGGAAUCCACCUUUGUGAGCUGUGGCUGUGGUGAGUGUUUCUGGAACGGCAGCUGCUGGUCAGCUGGGGGAUGCGGCUGCAGCUGGGAGCUCUCACUUUUGUACAGCGAAGGAAGUUGUUCCUGUUGCAUUAUCUUCUGGCUCCGGGGCUGUCCUGAAGGCCCCUUUAAAGAAUCAGGACUUCCAGCAUACUGUUUUGUGUAGACUGUUUGGGCUGUGUUUGGCUGGCACUGAAGAAUUGAUCGCAGUAAUGCUUCGCUGGGCUUUUGGGGAGGCUCUCUCUGGCGGAACUGCGUGGAAACCAGUUCUAUCCAGGCUGGUUUUGAAUAAUGUUGAGCCUGUUGGACAGGCUCUUUCACUUGGUCCUUUUCUUUGUCAGGAGGAGUCUCAGGUUCUCUCUGUCCUGGGAAAUGCUGAUAGUGUUGUUGCAACUCACCCUCACUUCUGCGCGCGUGCAGGUUUUGGAGGGGAGGUUCUGACGCCAGCGUCACUUCUUCAGGGCACUGCUGAACUGAGGAGGCCACAGCAGCUUGUGGGUUGCUUUCACUGACACCUUGUUGUGAUGUUUGUGCCUGCUGCAGAAGUCUCUGCUGAGGGUGAAGUUGUUGUUGGCUGAGGCUGGGACUUUCUGACAUUGGUCCCUCCUGUUGUCCUUCAUUCUUUAUCUUCCCAGGAAGAGUUUCACAUCUGCUGUCAUAGGAAUGGUGUCCUUCUUGCACCACGGCAGACAGGGCACUGUUCAUUUCUGGAGCAGGAGGAGUGGAGGAAUCUUUGUGAAACGUUGAGUUCUGUGUAAAGAAAGCACCAUUAUUUUCUGCUUGCUCAGAGUACCUUUCCAGAGCAGUGCUCUGAGCUUGCAGGUUACUGCUGGAACUUAAAGAGAGGUCUUGUUUGGGAACCUGCCCUAUGCUUCCAUGAACGUUACUGCUUCCUACGGGUAACUGGUGUGGAUCAUAGCCUGGAAUCUGUUGCUGUAGCUGUAGUUCUGGUUUCUGAAGCAAACAGCUUCCCGGCAAUACAGGUGGUUUACUGGAGUCUUCUGUGUUGUAGACCUCAGUAACCACUACAGCUGGCACUUGAGGCAGCUCAGAGUUUGAGGUCUGUGGGGAAGUGAUCUGCCCUGAGGUAUGGGAUGAAUGCGUUGUCUGAUAGGACAACUCAUUAGUAGCCUGACUGGUAAUGGCAUUGAUAUGAGAUGUGUUCUUCUGCAUUGCUAUGGAAACAUGUUCUGGAUAAUAUUGAGACAGUGUUUUCUCCAGGAGUUCACCAUGCAUGCUUUCCAUGGAAGAGGCAGAAACUGUAGCACCAUUAGGCAUUGGCACUGCCUUGUUCUUAAGUAGUAAGACAAUGUCCCUGUUGUGGCAAUGAAUGUUUUCCUGCUCCUGCUCAUCCUGAAUCAGGAGGUCAUGAGAGUUUUCUGAACCACCACUGUUGUAUCUUGUAGACGGUAUCAAAUCUGAAGCUUCAUUUUCUUGUCUUGUAAAACUCUCAGGUUUCUUCUCACUGUAAGAAUUGGAGACGCUUGGUUUUUCACUGUUAUCCUCUGGCUCAGCUUUUUCUCCGUUUACCUCCUUGUCUUGUUUCACUUUUUUGCUCUCAUGAAGUCCAUACAGAGAGGGCUCACUAAAAGUGCGUUUUAUCCCACCAUUUUGCAUAUAUUUGGAAUAUACUUUCUUGUCUUGUAAAAGGUCCGGGCUCACGCGGUUGUUUGGACUUCCCUUCGGGUGGGGCACUCCGUAGUUGCUUUUAAUGGAUAGCGGCUUGUGGUCUCCGUUUACUUCAACUCCAGGCCUCUCUGCUGCUGGACUUCCAUUCUGUAGCUUCCCCGCAGAAGGCUCUGGCUGGCACACGUGAGAAGGCUGCGGUAUUAGAAAUGGACUCAAUCUAUUGCCGUCAACAUGGUUGGUUCUGUCCUGUUCCAUCUGGCCUGCUCCGGGGCCAUCCACAAGGCUACCCUCCAAAUGUAUCUGAGGGAGAAAAGAAACAGGAGAGAAUCCAAGUCAAUUUUAGUUUCCACGGAUGGACAGCCAGUUACCAACAAUUCCUGCAGCAUUCAAGCACCCGAUGCCCCGAGCAGCUCCCAUACACAACGUGAGCUUGCAGGCUCACCUGUAAUAGUGUUUCACUAUCCUAUUGCAUUUUGCAGCCCAUGUCUCCCUUUUUCUUAAAGGCUUAUUCUUGAAGAUGAAGAGUGAAAAUACAGAGAGGCUUCCUUACCCCCAUUUAACACACAAGCAGACACUUUACCAGAAAAAAUAUCUCAUAAUGGCGCAAAAAAUAUUCUCUGCUUUUGAAUGAUUUGCACAGACUCAUCUGUCAUCACAUUUUGCCCUUGGUAAGGCAGAAAGUCAUGCUGAAACCAUGGUUCCCAGACUUGGUGCUAAUCCCUUCAUUUGAUUAAGUGUGCCAAACCUCUUUUGUCUGACUUGAAGGAUUAUUGCCACCAAGUUUGUCAGUUAGAGGCGAAAAUGUCCUUUUUUUAAUGUCCUCAGCUGUCUGACAGGGUCUUUCAAAACUGGCAUUCCUAAAGAGCAUGUAAGUGGUACAGCACACAUUAGAAAAAGCCAUGCUUGACUGCUGUCCAUAGGAACGCUUACAGUUCAUCAACACCUUGGUAGUGUUGGCAGAAACAAGCUGAGUGAUUUCUGAAAGGUUUGGUGGAAGUGGUAUUUUUUCAGGCAUUAAUAUCCUUUAACAUUUACAUAUAGACAUCACGCAUGGCUUAAACUAUGCAUUUGGGUUUUGAGCAGCUGUGAAGCUAGCAUUUCUUUCUUCUUUGUUUGGAUGGGAAAACCCAUUUUCUCAUAUACUCUUUAUAUUUUAUUUACAAAGUGAAGGUUUUAGCUGGAUAGAAGUUCUGACAAUGUGCAGUCAACAAAUUCCAUAUAAUGACAAGCUAAUCCUGUUCACAUGGAUCUUCCCAGGAUUCACAGUCUCAGUUAACACAGAUAAAGCCCUUGUUUGACUCUGCUUGUAAUUUAUUCAUUGUUGGCUUUAUGACUCUCAACCAGUCACAAAUGACAGAAGACAGACUAACAGCGGGUCUUACAGAUGUGAAGUUGCACAGAAAAAAUUUGGACAUGUAAAUGGCUUUGUUCUGAAGCUUUUACUUUUAGUUUGCAUAAAGGGGAAUCUGAAUGGUCCUCCAUUACCACAUCCCUGGUUGGACUGUCAAGUCAGGAGAAACACUACAUGUGGCUGGUAUUGCCACUGCAUAGGAAGAGCUACUAAACUGAAAAAAUUCUCCCAUCAUGGUUGCUCUGCUUAUGUAUUUAUCCUACGUUAAUAUUUUUAUGUUAUUAACAUGUAAUUUUAAAUGUUAUUUAAAUGUAAUUUAUACCGUUUUCAGUGCAAUAUUGCUUUAGUCAGUUGAGUAAUAUGAUUUUAAAAUGCUUUUAAAAGUAAUACUAAUUAAUGAAAUUUAUUUCAUCCAGCAGACUCCCCUCUGCUUGCAGCUCUGAUUUCAGUAGCAGGAUAAUUCAAAUGUACAUUUUGACUGGCAAGCAUCUAUACAAUGACCCGUAUUCCCUUCCUCCAUAUCCCAAACUUGCUUUUAGAUUUACUUUUGACCUCCUGAAGUUCUUUUUUGUUUUCUUCCUUUACUCAGUUUAUGUUUUGUAAGACAGAAAUUUAGAAGUUCUCUCUGCAAGUAAAAGUACUCUAAAAUAGAGUUUUUGCAGGGAAAGCUAAGAACAGGGAGAUGGAAAAGAAUGUUUGUCAACCUGGCCUAUUUUUUUGACAAAGUAAGGAAGGCUUCUUCCCUUCUAGAUAUAUUUCCCAUCCUAGCUUUAUAGUACCACAAGACAUGAGCCUGUGGAGCUUUCCCAGGGAGAUGAUGUUUCGUGUUUAGCAGAAAGCAGUGUGAAAAGGAUUCCUCUGAUGUGUCAUUCUAGGCCAGGCAGCAGAAUGAUGCUCCCAGAGUAUCUCAAAAAUAAAAUGUCAGCCUAAUUUGGAAGCCAUUCUUUGCCUUCACACCUUUCAUACCUAAAAACUGCAGGUGAACCGCAACUCAGACACGAGUGUGUGGGCUGCUGUAUUUUGCAACUAUGAAAUGAAAUAAAGGGCAUCAUAGUAAUUAACACUAUGCUGUCAAGCUGCUUCUACAAGAUUAAGUCCCUUUUAAAAAGUUUUAGUCUGUGCGAGUGAGCCAUGACAAACUUUCUCUGGCCCUCAAAGUCUGCUGUGCUGCUUGUGUUCUGGUGUAUCCUGUGGGUUGCAACUAAAUUCCUUCUGAUAAUUCCCAGGCAAUCUUUCUUUUCAAUUCCUUACUGAUAGGUAAAAAUACCUUUUUGUUUAGAAGUGGGGGCUCCCCAACUUCUUUAAACUUAGCUUGCAAAUCUCUCAAAGGAGCACAUCUGUGGUCCAGAAAAGAGUCUUAGGUUCAUGCUGUCCUCAAAACCCACAAGGUUAUCUUCAAUGUGUGACAUGGACUAUUAUUCACAGUAUUCUCAAAGACUUCAUGGUAUUAGUCAACCAGUUCCCCCAAAUUCUGACCAUCUCCUGUAAAAGGCACUGUCAUUAGGUAUUGCUAACACCAUGGGAAUAAUUUGGUUAAAAUACAAAGUCCAUUCUUCCAUUAAAGUGCCAGAUUUGCAUUCUCUGAAAUGCAUCUAGGAUUAUGGUGACUUUGCAUUACACUUCUUUGUCUCUCUCUCUACACUCAACUAUCACUAUCCUUAUGUGACACCUGAGUACAAAUCUUCCUCAAGCAGCUACAAAUCACAGCAAUAAUUUGUAAUAUAGAACUGGAAAAAGAUAAAUGGCAAUGAUACCUUUAUUACUGGCUUUAACGGGGACACCAUGAAGAUAUUCUUACAGCUUACUACUAAGUAGACCUGGCUGCUCCUUAAGUCUUUGUACUCUUCCUGAUAAUUAUUGUGGGGUGAACUCUCUGCCUCUCAAAGUAAAUCUACCUUUCCCUAAAUGUAGCAGUUAGUCUUUUUUCUCUUUCCCAUAACCGUAUUUUAUCCAGACCAUUUGGAAGCUCCACAUAUUUUUCUUCAGCUAUAAUCCAUUAGAAAUUCAAGUCACAUCAGCAGCAUCUGUGAAACAAUUACUGCAUCUAGGACUGACUCUGCAGUCUAAUCCAUCAUAAUUAUGACUGGCCUCUUUGAAGAUGCCACGAUGCGUGACUUAAAUAUAGCACAUUACUGUGCAAAUGGAUCAGCAUCUCAUCCCACCAAUAUGCAUUCAAGUUAUAAUUCAGACUACCACUCUUUGAUUUUUUCAGAUGCAAUUGAUGUAUGUACAUUUAUUUCUUGCCACAUAUGGGGCACAAACUGGAAAUCAGGUACUGAGCAAGAGUUUGAGAUUUUUUCAUUGUUUGUUUUAUGGGCAAGUUUGGCAUAUUUUUACCACCUCUUACCAGUACAAUACUGUGGAACGUGUUGUUAAGAGAGCACCAUACAUUUCUGCAGCAACAAACGUACUCUAAGUCAUCAUUUUCUUUCAUGGAAAAUCCUUUACUUUUAGCCAGUUCUAGAGGUUCAUACCUUAUUUUCUACAGCACCCGUAUGUGGGGAGUUUGUGAAUGUAAAGCAGCUCAGAUGAAUGAAUGGACAAACAGACCCACUGCAGGGGAGUACAGUCUUCUGCAAAACUAGGCAAGAUUCCCAGGAGAAAAAGUAGGUAGGGGGAUGCUGUGGUAGAGCACUUGUGGCCCUGAAAUGAUCAAAAGGUGGGAUGUCAGAUGGAUUGUUUCCCCUUCUGGGGUUAGCUCAGAUAGACAUUUAUCUCCUCAGAGGUUUUUCUUCCCAGCAGAAAUAUACCUCCUCAGAUCAUGGCUUCAGCUGACUUGUGCUCAACUGAUUAUCAGGAUGAGACUCAGGAAAGCAAUAGUCAGACACCUGGAAGCUUGUUGAUGGCUCACUGGGUUGUUCCUGGAGUGCUGCCACAGCCUCUAUCCUGCUGGCACCCUUCUGCCACUGCCGGAUGGCACAGAGGUCUAAACUGCUUCCAGACAAGAAACCUCUGUAGCACUUUCUACACAAGAGGUGAAUUUACCUUUAUGUCUUGCCAGACUCCAGUUUGGCAAGUCGUACUUUCUGCUUACACUCUCCUGCUCCUAUCAUCUGUGUAGAAUAGCUGGGUUCACUUGUGGCUUGAUUUGCUAUGUAUUGUUAUGUGCUCUUGUGCAGUUGCAUCUCUCCUCUGAAGCUUAUGCCUCUGGCAAAGAGUUCUAAAUCCUAAACUUCCAACACAUGGAGUUAAGGGGUUUUCUUUUCCUAUUUAAUUAAUCAAUGAAAAUUUGAGAAAAGGCACGAGUGGUUAUUCCUAAGUAAGGACACUCAUACAUGAUAUUAUCAGAAAGCUCAAUAUCUGCUUUUAACCCUUAAAUCUUCUGGACUUGCACACAUGUGAAAUUGUUUCUGAUUAACUCUGUGUCAAAGUUUUCUCUAAUUUAAAAUUGGAACAACAUGUGUAAGAAGUUAUAAUGAUGCUCAGCACAAUGAUUUGUGGCCACGUGGUUAUUGUGGGAUGUAAUUUUUCUCUGGCCUAUCUAAGUACCAGCUGCUGCAGCUGUGCCCCAGGUUAACACCUGUAAGCAGCUGCCAGUGUCCCUAGAGGAGAAAAGAUGAGCAGGUUACUCAGAUGGCUGAUGGGUGACAUAACACAUCAAACCUCCUUAUUAAUGAGACAUUCCCAUUAUUGCUGAGAUAAAAAGUUGAAAACUGGGAUAUAGUUUAAGGAUUUCCUGUAUGUUUUGCACUUAAGGUACUCCAAGUUUAUAUACUGAAAAACAAUACAAGCUUCCACAUGGAAACUUUAGGGCAGAGGCAAGAGCAGGACAGAUUCAAGAGACAUUGCAUUCAUACCCAAGGUGAAUUGAGGCUCUAAACCCCAUAACAUGCCCUAAGGAUUUGCUCUGCUCCUUACCAGCAUCACUGCUGCCCCGCUGCAAGUGUGGUGGCUUAGGAAAACACAGUGAAACUUCAAGGCAGAUGUAAAGGAGGCCCCAGAAGGACAAGGACACUCUGUUGUUAGCUGGGCUAUGUGGCUUACAAUAGAGUCUUUCUGCACUACAUUCAGCUGUUUCUUCAUUUGGACAGUUUAUUUAUUCAGGACAUUAGCAAUACUUUGGAAAAAACUUGCAUAAGGAUGCCAUGCCUUGCCUGUCUCUUGAAGAUUUUUAGCUAAGGCUAUAUUUCUUUCAAAAAUAUCUAAAUAUCUGAAAUAUCUAAAAUAUCUAAACUUCUUAUUGUAGCUCCAAAGAGCAGUUAAGGGGUUAAUCUAGAAAUUCCUGAAGGAAACUGUGACUGUAUUCUGCAGGAGGUCAUAUUACAUGAAUAUAAUUGUCUUCUCUGGCAUUUAGAUCUAUGAUAAUCUGUGUCAAACAAAAGAAAAUGUGGGAUGGAUAAAGUUUGUUAUCUAAUUUAUGGCUAAUUUAACCUUAAUUUACAGGGGAAAAUGGUGACUAGCAAAUAUAGAUAUAAGCAGACAUAAGGGAAUGAAGAGCAUGGGAUUUGUGACAUAUGAGGAUUAAUAAUUCAUUAAAUCUUAUCCAAGCCAGAAGCUUCAUAAUUCAUGCAUUUUUAAAAUCAACUAGUGCUAACCCCCCCUCAAUUUACUGACAUCAGUUCUUGCAUUUCAGUGAUACAAUGGUCUAACUGCAAAAGCACUUGAAUCAGUUAGAUUUUUGACCUUAAUACAGAGGGCAUCAUAGUAAAGAUAAAUUGCUCUGCACAGUGAUUUCCCUUUGCUACGUUAUAUAACCAUCAACAAGACUGGAUACUGCAUAAUAUCUAUUCAGAUGUGAAAAAUGGCACUAUUCUAACAAUACCAUAAAAUCAAGAGAAGUAAAAAUUAAAUGCCUCUACAAUACUGGUGAAAAAAACAAUUAUGCAAAGGAAAUUAAUUCAGGAAUAUAAAAUGCAGUAAAUAGAAAUAAUAAUGAUACAUCACACAGCUCUCCAACUCCUAUUUUUUGUGAUUUAUACCCUAUACAAUCUUUGUACCUAACUGUAAAAUGUAGCACUUCCAACAGAAGAACACAACUCUUCAAGUAGUUGCUUGUAAUGCCACCAUAGUAUGACUAAAUCAGAAAUGUUUCCCAAAAGGUGAAACUUAAGAACCAGGCUGGAUUUAAGAGACAAAAGCACCCUCUCGCUGUAAUAAGCAGAUCAUUCAAGAUGAGAUUGGCACCUAUGCUUGUUCUUGCCAGUUGUAAGCUGUUUUCAGUAGUUUGGGUUAGAAAUGUGGUGGAUUCAGAUGGAUUUGCUCCCCCAGUUAACCUCUUUGACAUUAUCUUGGGUGCUGGUAUGCCAGCAUACUCUAAGACCAGUAUUGCUCAAUUUCUUGAGCACUACCUUGACUAUUAGACAGCUUUAACAAAUGUUCAGGGAAGCUGAACUAAAACACCCUUUUGUCUUUGCUGGUUUGAGAGUCUUUGUAUCUGAUGAUUGUAAUAUGAAGGCUGUGGGAAUGAGAGUUACAGCCGUAAAUCCCAGGGGGGCUCAAAUAAAUGUGUGCUGAGUGAGAUCCUUCUAUGCUUGGGUAUAAUGAGAAACUUCUCUCAUAUGCCUGUGACAUUUGGACCAUCAAGACUGUUUCAAAUUGUGACCCACAAAGGGUAUCAUCUGGGUAAUUCCCCAGUGCCUAUGAAUUCAACAUCAGCAAACAUGCUGGGGCUGGAAAACAGAACCAAGUCUCUUUUUUUCUUCAUCUUGGUCAGUUACUGUGCUAGGUUAGGUGUGUUCUGGAAAGGCUGGGCAGUGUUGUCAGUGUACAACUGCUGCUUAGACCUGUUUUUGAUUUCUGGAGAAAUGCUGUAAUUUGAGGGAUGAUUUUCCUCUCGGUACUCGGCCACCCCAUGGGUCAAAUGGUAAUGAUGAUACUGGCUGCUGAUUAACAUCAGCUCCCCGAGAGCAAUAGCUGAUGGCUCUCGCUAUCCCGGUCAAGCUCCGCAGUCCGUGAGCCUCUGGUGAGCACGCCAGGAUAAACAAGCAUUGGUGGCUGAACCGUCCUUCAAGACACACUUGAUGUUAUCAACCUGCUGUUUAGGGAAGGUCACCAAGAGGUCAGUGUCAUCAUUAUCUUCCAGUUUCUGUGAUCUUUGUCCAUCUGGCUUCAGACCUGGAUACAGCAUGGAUUUCUUGGGUUGAUGACUUCCUAACACCAGUCAAAGGUCAGUUAUCCAUGAUGAUUUCAUCACAGCUUUUGGCAGAGUGAAAAGCCACUGGAAGGAAAAGGAAAAACCACUGUCAAGCUGAAGAUUUCAGGGUUUCAUCAUGUUGGGACAGUAACAUUGGAAAACAGGAACAAAAAUGGUCCUGUUUGGCAUAUGAGUGGAAGAACUGAUAGAAGGGAGUAAAAUGUUGUGGGCUGCAGUGUCCUCAGAAAACCUGUUUACACAGCUCUGUUUUCCAUUAUCCUUUGAACUUCAAAUGCUGUAGGUCUCCCAGUUCUGUUGAAAACAGAAUUUUUGAUGAAAUGCAGUUUUCUUAAAUUUCUUCUCCAAAAGUUGAAGGUCGUACUGAGAGGAGAGGGAGGAGAAUGCAAAGAGAAGGGUUGAUGACUCCAAGGAUUACUCUCACUGGUGCUCCUGCACAUCCAGAUGAUAAAGCAUAGCUUUCAGCCCCUUCACUGGCUUCACUAUGGUAGUAGCCUUUACACCCCUCUACACAUUCCUCCUCUGUUUUUCUCAUGCUUCUGCCACACCUAGGCUGGGAUCCUGUAGUGAACUCAAUUUUCAGCAACUAUGCUUUGGGAAAUGAGAGGUAGCACAGAGGCAGCUCCCACACUACACACUGUACACUGUGCAUGCCUACGUGCCCCAGGGGCAGGUGCUGGGGAUCCCUGCCAGGGGCGGUGAGCCACGAGAUACCUCGUGUCCAUAUGCAAAAUGCUGCAUGCCACUGCAUGUCCUUCUGGGGAUUUGCUUCCAGACAGUGAAGGUGGAGAAGUUGAGCCAAAACAAGGGUACCUGCUUUCGAAAGAUCUUGUGCUGUUUUAAUUUUUGCAUGAUUUGAUUUAAAAAUGUGUUUUCAUGCCCACUUGUGAUUUAGUUUUAUUCCUUCCAAUUUGUGCCUUUCACGACUUACAAACAAGACCAACUGCUCAUAAACACAUGGAAAAAAUAGGUUUGUUGGUGCCCUGUUCCUUGGCUUCAGGGCAACACUAGCCAGACACGUACCAGUCCACUCCAACCUGUUUUCAAAAGUCUCUAAUGAUGAGGGUUGCAUAAUAACACACAGUUACAUGCAGUACUUUAUUAAUCUUACUUAUUAGAAAGCUUCUACCAUUUAAAACAUAAGCUUAGACCGGCUCAUCCCAUCUGCCACAGACAUGCGGAGCAGGUUUUUUUCCUUCUGUGCUACAGCUUCUUUCUCCCUAUGUAACUGAAGACUGUCAUUAAUGCUCCCCUCUUAGACAGAAUAAACAACCCGGUUCGUGACAUCCGAUCUCCUCCCUGGGUGGAUCUAUAUCCAUACCAUUUGUUCUCUGACCAGAUGCACAGAGGUCACAAAGCAAAUCCACAGUCUGUUCUUUGGAGGCAUUAUGCACAUGCCACAGUCUGCUAGAUUUUCUCCAAAUUCAGAUGUUUGAUAUACAAGCAACUAUAAUAUGUGCCUAUAUAAUCUUCCAAAUACCUGUAUGAAUUACCUUGGCUUUCCCCCCAGUAACUAAGAUCAGUUUUAUUCCUUCACUGUGUAAAUCACUGAAAUCAAAAGAACAGGCUUGUUACUUCUAACAGAGCAUUACAGAGGAGGUUGUUUCCUUAAAACCUGACUUCCGUAUGCUGAGGCCCGUGAGCUACUAGCACAAACAUAUCUUCUGACUCCCACUGCUGCUGAGGAACCACAGAAGAUAAGAAUCUAAUGCAUUUUUAGAGGUCUAUUAGAAGGUGCUCCCUAGAGCUAUGGUUGCCAUUCAGCUUCUUUCUGCAUUCGUGUGUGGUCUUCAGGAGCAGUCUUCAUGUGGGUUAUUGCAAUCUACACGCAACAAUGGCAUGGAUUAUUGUGCUGAAACCCAGAUCUGAAAAAAUAGUUACAGUUGCCUCUCCAGAUGUUAAAGAGAUGAAAGACAAGGUGCUUUUGAUGACCAGAGCCAGCUGACAACCUAAGAGCAGUCGAGGUCUAACCUUGAUAAAAGCACAACUCUGGAAGAGAAAUGAAACAUAGGAGCCAGCACUGCCUUGCCACAGUUCUAAGCACACAAGAGAGCUUGGCAUGAGUACUGUUGACAUCCCCUUCAGUUUUAGGUUGAAGACGUGGGACAACUUUUCACUUUGAAUAGUCAGCAUAGAAACUUCGAAAGAACUUGGUCAUUGGCUAAUCUCAGAUAAAAGGGCCCAGGCCCCAACAAAUUUUAAGUCAAGGAGACACCCAAUUCACACCACCAAUUCAGCAUUUAUUCAGCCUAGCUUCUUAAGACUGCCUUGAAAAACAGAUUUUCUGUAGUUACCAUCUUGGCUACAGUAAGUUCCCCCCCUUUCUAAUUUUAGCUUUGUAUCACGUGCAAGAGAGUUUUCAGGUUUUUCUUUAGAAGGCCACUAUUAAUCUUGUUCUGAGAACUAAGUGCUAGGCUCCAGUUCAUGCUUCCACACAACUGAGGCCAUUUCCAAGUUCCUUUUUAUCUUGUUAUAUCCUUGCUUCCAAAGAAUGUGGAGUUAAUGUAUAGCCAUUUAAAACUUCGUAAUAUUUAAGUCUAAAUGGGCAGUGUAUGGGGAGUUUUAUGUAUUUUGUGGCAAAAAAACAUUUAAGAGAACAACUAGAGAAAAAAGCUUAUUACAGGGAGACAGGCUUUUUCCUUUCUAUGGAAUCUCCCUUCAGUGUUUCAGGGAAACUGGAAACCAGUAACAAGCCUAGAUGUUUUGAAUGGGAUGUUUGCUUAAAAACACAGCUCUAACAUGGAAGUUUCUCCCUUAACCAAAAUAAAAGACUGGAUAGAAACUUGGGAUUCCUGUGCCAAGAAACAGUUGGGAUCUCAGAACAUGCAGGCAUCCCUGCUUUAAUUUCCAAUAAUUCAAAGCAACAUUGUUUCUCCUGUUUAAAUUUUCUUCCUUGUGGCGAGAUGCAACAUGAAGAGGCAGAAAAUUCACUGCUGCCAAGCUAAAAGGAGCGGGAGGAACUGGCAGAUUGUGUUUUAACUCUCACUAAGACUUUUAGACUCCCACAGCUGACACUUGGAAGAGCGGUGUUUGAGCAGUCCUGAAGGGAACUGCAACACUUCUCUCUCUGUCCUUCCUUUUCAAAUAUUUUCAAAGCUUUGAAAACAGUCGGUUGUUCUUCAUUCUGGCAACGCGCCAUUUGCUGCCGGCUCACAUCAGUUCAUGGUCUUCUGAGGUAUCCAGUGGCCUGCAUGGAUUUGAGAGAGUAUGAAGCUCUAAUGAAAGACCUUUGAUAUUCUGGGAUAUUUAAGAGACAUACAGAAACGUGUGAGCUAAAAGAGCUGUUGUCAGUUCCCGCAAAGCCCACUUCAUAUUCCCAGUCACGAGAUACUGUUUCACUAAUUGAUUAUUGUCUGUCCACAACACAGUCAUGCUCUUAGUGCACAAAAAAAGCACUGUGGAUGAAAAGCUCGCCAUUAUAAAGUACACACUCAACUGGAUUUAGAAAGCUGGGAACUACAGACAAAUGUUAAGAUAUGGGACUACUUUGAAUGAAACUCAUAAAUCAUAGCUGAGACUUUUUUUUCAGCUUAAGUAAACUUCUUUACUACAGAUAAUGAAAAUUAAUGGAAGCCUUUCAAAUGCCUCCCUUCAGUCUUCCUAAGAAGACCUAAGCAGGUGAACUCUCCUCAAAAGGGUGAGGUGACUUUUUGUUCUUUAAAUCCACACCUCUAGCAAUGAGGACCUGAUCCCACAGGUCCUCUAGAACUGCUCCUAGCUGGCAAGGUUAUGCAAAGUGUUUGCCAGGCUAGUCCUUCAGCCAGCAGCCUAACAGCUGCAGUGGCCUUAAGCUGAGGAAUGCAGGUGUAGGUAAGAAUGCCUUGGUUGUGCUGGUUGAGUUCCCGUAAGCGUAUGCGUGUCAUUGUAGGUGAAGUGUGAUUGCACAGUGCAGUCGCUGCUUUUCUUGCCAACACAAACCUACACUCCCUCUUUCACCUCUGCCUUCCCCAAAACACACCAGGGAGAGAACAGUUUUGGGGGCAAAUCAAGGCUGAUAGGCAUUAAGCUCUGAUAUAUGCAACUGUUUUUGCUCAGAAGAAAAUAAAGCACAGUCUGGGAUUGGUAGUAUUACUUCUACACAGUCUCUGGGGGCAAUGGACAGCUGCUUUUUCUUAAAUAAAAAGUGGCGGGGUUGGGAGAAGGAAGGACACAGCUAUCAGGAUACUAUAUGUCUAAUGCAGUCAUUUAAGCUAACAUGCAUGCCAGUGUCAAAAUGCAUAUAAGGGCAUUUUAGUUUUGGUUUAUUAACAAUUGAGGGUCAGCCAGGUUGAUUAUGAGAAAAUGAGCUAACAGUUUUACUGUGGGAAGGGUGGGGGAUGAUGAAUGGCCAAGUUUAUCUGCUCAUUACAUUCACCAGCAAACAAACCUUCCUAACAGCCUCAUCUAGCUCACAAAAGCUUGCAUGGAAAUGACGUUUAAAAAAUCAGAUGCAUGCCUCAGUUCCCCAAAUCAAAAUUGUCUUAAAAGUCUAUGAUAAGUAUUGAUGAUUAUGCAAAUGUUCUGAAAAGUUAGUUGCACGUAAAAUUAGAACUAAAAAUGAGAUAAGCAGAAAAAAAUAUGCUGGAGUACCUCCAGUUAACCUUUAAAAAAAGCAUGUGAAGGACUAAAGCAAAUGAGGUGAAUGCUAGAGACAGACUGUGUUGCCGUACUGCUGUGCACCAACUCUGCAGCAUGUCUUGUCCAUCACAGAAAUUGUGGCAGGAAGCUGUUUGGAGUUUGUGUUCAGGGUGCUGAUGCCUCCAAGCCCAUCCUGUUUCCUGCUUUCUCCCUCUAGCACUUUUAAGUCCUUUCACUGACCAAUCCAAACAAAACCAUGCUCCUCUCUUCAAACAAAGGGGCCGGCUGGGCAUGCAGUGGAUACAGGGCAUGUGUCAGCACCAUCCUGCAGGGCCUCAGUCCCAUCCUGGAAACUGAUGGGAAUCCCAGCAGCUCCCGACCUCCCCCUGCCUGAGCUCCUUGCCUCAGCCCUUGUUCCUAGAGCUGUGGAGGCAGAGAUGUCUUCAGACUUAUCAUAAGUUUCCUCAUACACUGCAAUAUAACCAGGCAGCACAAAAGUCUUAGUCUAUGCUUCAUUUUUUCUGGCUUCAUUGAAAAAAUUCAAUGUCUUGAAAACAGCUGGUACUACUUAAUGAUCCUUUGGUAACUAAGGCUGAUUUCUUUUGUUAUGUUCUCUGAAGAUUAAGUUUUGCUCUGGACUCUAUUGCCUGAAGGAGGCUAUUGUAAAACAAGAUACUCGGAAAUCAGCAAAAAGAUGUUAGAGCAAAAACAGAACACCAAAACAUUUUAACUCUAGUGGUGCUGCUGCCAAUGAGCUUGAGAAAUGAUCCUGAGAUUAUGCUAAAACCAGUCUGGUAUUGUGGGCUGACGAACUGCUUUCUAACAAUGUACACUGCCUUGCAAAUGAAUCAAACCUUCAUGAUACAGAAGACGCUGCUUUGAUGUUUGGUUUUAAAUCCUAACUUAUCAAACAGGCAAUCAUGGAAAUAACUAAAUGGUAGUAAGCAUUGCUAUUGCUUUAAAUUUUGAGGAGGGAAAAUAGAAAGUUCAAGGAUUUGCAGUCCCCUUUACAACAGACCCAUUGCGGACAACCUGCGUCUACCAAAUACUAAAAAGCUCAAUCAGGAUUACAAAGGGAAUUGCUAGAAAAGAUUAAAAUAUGCAGUCAGCAGUAAUAAUUCUCCCUUUUUUUUUUUUUUGUCUCAGAUUUUUAUUGUCUCGGAUUGUAUUUGUGUUAGAGGAAAGAUUGAUGUACUUCAGGUAGCAACAGGGAAGAGAAAGAGAGGUUUAGAGAGAGAUUUUCCAUUACAAGGUUAACUAGAGGAAGUGGAUGGGGAUGAGGGAAUGUGUUCCACAGAAAUGCAGGAAGUUGAAGCUGGAGGAAGGCAGUGCAGCACCUAGAGAUUAAAGAUUUUAAUGGGUUCAAACACCAAAAGUAGUGUUUGGAGAUGAAAUUACCAAUGACUGCCAACAGACACGAUCUUCGAGUCUCCCCUUGUUGGGAUGUUCCUGUGGCACCUGCUGGGAUUGGCAUGUGCACCCUGCAAUUGGCAGGCAGUGACCUUUGUAAGGUAUUUAUUACAGAGGCUCCCCCUUGAUCAGUCAGCUGAUCUGAUUCAAAUCAGUCUUUAUAGGAAGCUGCCCACAUGACCCUCUGUAUCUCCCAGUGUAGAGCAGCUCUGUAUGCUUUCUUGAUUCUGCCAACUUGCACUGAAAUCCUCUCCUUCCAUCUAGCCUGGUACCAGCAGACUUACUCAUCUGACCUGAGAUUCCAGCUAUGGCAUUUACGAAACCACAUCUUUAAGGCUAACAGCCCGGAGAGCCCUCCCAUUCCCUGCAGUGAGUAGUGUGCCACUGAAUGAUACUGGGGCUUGCACGUGACACCACUUUGCCUUCAUUUACGUUCCAGCUUGAACAAGGCAGCAGCCCUUACCAUUUAUUUUGCUUAUACAGGUCACAGCCACAGAUACAGAUUCACAAGGAACUACAGUAACCAAUACAUAACAAUGUACGAAAUGCAGGGAACACAUUUUUUAAGCAUUCUGAGUAUCACUGAUGCCUCUUUCUGUUAAGGUACAGACACAUAUUUAUAAUAUACGGAAACAGAUUAAUUUAGGCAAGUACUCCCAACAUUAUCUUUCAGAAGCAGAAGACACAGAAGACAUGAGAACAGUAACUAGUGCAUGUUGGGCUGAGCAACAACUCUCCCUGAAGGAUUCAGGGUAGCCAGACUGCCACCGCAUCCCAGACUGACAUGGCUGGGAAACCCCAGCACCUUUCCAUCCUCGGGGAAUGCAGCUUGCAAAAUGCUAUUCCCACCUUCGGUUCCUCUUUGGGCACUAUGUCUGUAUCUGUGCACCAUUCUUCAUUUGAAUACUUAGGAGACUUAGGAGUAACAUGAGAAGUGAGAGGCUGUGCAUUUGCCUGUUCAAAUUGCAGCUUGUGUGUCCGUAAAGGAGUGGCCACAGGCCAUGAACUGUGUACAGCUUGGCAUGGCAACAUGUAGAGCACAUAGUACAGUAUAUAAGUUUUUUUUUCUGACCAGAAGUUCGGGGAUAAACUAUUCACAGGCAUUGUAAAAGCAAUAGCUAUACUUCCAAGUUUUAAAUGAACUUUCUCGGCUUGAGACUUAGUGGGUUUACAAUAAGCAGGCUGAAAAGAGGAGCAGCUGUAAUAUCUGUUAACUCUUUGUACUUACUUGUGGCCUUAUAAUUUAGUUUUAGUUUUGGGUGCAACUACUCAAAUAAGUGCAUUUGCUACUUUGCUUACAGUUGCAGGGAAAAGAGGACCAUAAACUUUUGAAUCCAUUGCAAUGGACUGGAAAACUGACACUGUGUGGACCAGGCCAGAUUUUACACAGAAACAUAACAGACUCUAGUAACUCAGAGGUGCUACAAGCAGUAACAGGAAAAGUAGUCGGUGGUAUUUUGUAUAUUGGUCAUGCCCCAGUAACUCCCACAGAGCUCUUCUUUUGUAAUACUGAGUCUUUCAUGGUUUGACAAUGUUUAUUUGCAUUCUUUGUGUUUUUUGCUUGAAGGGAAGCUCUUCUGUGAGCCUUUUUAAAAAGUAACGAAAAACCCCAAACCUUUAUUUUUGAAGUCUAGUUUAUGUAUUUCUCAUCUUCUCAUCUCAUUCUAAUCUUCUCUUAAAGGGAAAAAACCAGAUUUAUAGUAGUUGAAUGAAGAAGACAGAUAAUAUUAAGUACCUGACACCUCCAAAGAGCAAAGAUCAUCAGCUUUCUCUUUCAGUGUUAACAGUUAGUGCAUUUGACAAAGUUACACUGUCAAAUAGAUCAUCUGCUGGGAAGAUUUACACAGUUCUGUCACUUGUUAUCUCCUAGUCAUGACACAACGCUCAGCUAAAGUCAAGUCACCCAAAAUGACAAAUGAGAAACUGUGCUUUUUCACUUAAAAUCUUUGGUGACUUUUAAAUGCACAAAGUAGUUGCAUUAGUUUCCUGCCCUCCACAAUGUUGCUCCUGAAUGCGUAUUCUGAAAUCCUGCUCAUCUGUGUUGCUGCAUUUUUGCUCAUGACAAUUUAGCAUCUGACUCAAAGCCCAGGAAAGUCAAAAUGACAGCACAGGGUCUUAGAUAAGAGAGAUAUUCCUGAAAGAUUCCCCACACCCAGAAAGAUAUGUAUAUUCAUACCCCAUCUGACUUUGGUCCAUGAUCAGUGUCUGUCUUACAAACAAAAUUGCAAAAUGCUUUACAGUGGGAAACUGAAUCAGUAAUGGAUGGGCAAAAAUCUUUCCUUCCUCCAUUCUACAGUCCUCACAGCUGGUUGCUUUAUUGUUUUCAUUUCAACAUUAGCUGUAUUUGAGAGCUGCUGAGGAAGAAAGAAAAUCUAUGCAAAUCUCAUGCUUCUCCUUCUUGUCCUACAGAAAAAGUUCUAUAUACCUUUUUCUUUUAUUCUUCCCAAUUUUAAAACAGGGCUAAGAUUUUUCUUGGCUAUCUUUAGGGGUGAGAGAAAGAGAUUAUUUCUUAGCUUUCAAUGGCAUUUUAGCAAUUCAGAAAAACAGGCCUUUGUCAUAAUAGAGCAGUAUCUUCACCUUGUAGCAGGCGAUACAAGUGGUGUAGCAAGAUUUUUGUUUUUGAAAGGGUAAACCCUAGUUCUGUAGUUCAGACAUAGAAUAGGAAUCUUUUUAGAUAGAAGGAGUUACAGAAAUGUGUAAUCCUUGUCACAGUUGACCUUUUCUCUCCUUGAGCUUAUGGGUGUUUUCUCAAGAAGUAGAAAUUCUAGUUCUUGCUGUGCAUGGAGGAGAUAAGGACAGUAUCACAGGGGGAGGCAGUUGUGUUUUCCUAAAAGGUAAAUUACUCUUUAAGGAGAGAAGAACGAAACUCUUUGGGGGGAUAUAGUAUCAAAGCUGAGACCAAUUACACCAAAAAGAUACAGAAAAAGAAACAGCAAGAGUGAAGGGGGGAUCCAAAGUUUGUAGAAAAAAAAAAAUGCACCCACCAGGGGUAGAAUGGCAUAAAUCAGCAUUCAGAUACGAAACUGCUGGCUUUCUAGAGAAAAAAGGGUGAGAUGAGGGUUUGUUGUUUUUAAUGGUCAGUUAAUAGAGAAGAAAAAUGCAAAUACAAGAAAUCUUCCCGUGCCUGGCUUAAGAAAACCCUCAGAGUCACUAACACAUUGAAUGAAUCCUGUUUUAGGCAGGUAAUGGCUUGAAACUCCCUGCCGAAAACAAAGGUGGUUCACAAUGAAGCAUGACAGAUGCAGAAGCAAUGUGACUGUGAGAUGGCACAGUUAUUCCAGUUUCAGGGACGAUGGGAGUUUAUCUAAGGAUAAAGGAGGGAGGGAUUCCCUAUGCAAGGUCAGUGUACGGGAGAGAUCCAGCGGGAGACCAGCUGUCUGUACUUACUAACCUCUAAUCCAGGAGGAUGGCUUUGUUGUGCUGCUCCAGUACAGAACAGGUUAGACUGAAUGCCGAUGAGGUACCAGCCAUCCAGGAAAUAAUUUUCUGUUUCGCUGAUUUUGGUUCUCGUUGUUUUGUGUUCCUCUCCCUUUGUAUGUAAAGCAAGCGUUGCAGGAGUUCCUGAACAGAGGUCGCUCUGCUCCUCUCUACCAGCGGCAUUGCGAGCACUGUGGGUGCCGCUGGCCCGGGGGCUCGCCGGCACUUCACAAACAGCCCCGAUAGUGCGGAAAGCCAGAGCUUCACCAGACAGAUAAUUUUAUGUGGUCUGCAGAAGAACAGGCCUUUGUCCGAACGAGAUGAUCGCUGACUUUAAUUGGCAGGGGGAGGGGAAGGAGUUUUCUCAUUUUCUGUGUAUUUCUAUUCAGCUGCUGCAGAAACGUCCCCAUCUGCUUUGAAUCUACAUUUUAAUUCCAAAUCCCAGCAAGAAAUACAGCGAGCUGGCUUGCUCUGCCUGGCAAAGUACACACAUAGCAAGUUGCUGAGCUGAAAGUUGUUCCAAAAUCUAGGAAUGUAAUGAACUUAAUAGCUAAGUUACCUGGCUUUGUGCUCUGUUUAACUGUAUGAUGAUGAUAAUCAAAAAAAUAAAUUUAAUUUGUCAGUCCUUUAAA